AUGUUUGUUGGCAUUUAGAGAAGUAGAGGUGUCUGGGUUUUUUUGCUGUAUGCUGUUUUCCCCACAGCUGACGGGAGGUACGACAAGGUCACGGGAGAUGCGGCGUAAACCAUCUGGGCCUCUGCAUCUCAAUAUGCAGGGCUGAAUGUCAGAUGAGUCUCAUCCCCUAAAGCAUUAGUGCAGGUUUGUGUCAUUGUCUUCCCUGGAAUGUUUUGGAGAAGAGGAUGUGUAUUAUUUGUGCUCCUAACAGUCUGCAGCCAGGGGUCAUCUUUUAUCGCAGUCCCGGGCACGCAAGCUUUUUCUGUUAUUCCAGUUUUGCCUUUUUCCUGAAGUGUCCACUGAGGUUUCCUCUAGUGUCAGUCAUGGCAGUUACGUUCUCUUGUUCUUGUUUACCUAUUGUUUUUGGCACCAGUUUCUGUAGUUGUAAGGUGUCCAUUUUAGAUCUUUGAGUCACCAUGUCACGCCAUUGUGGUUUUUCCAUUGGCCAACUGCCACUGUAAUUCCCUUAGGGGCUUUGUAGAUGCAGCGGGACGAGCUGUGUGCCAAAGGGCAACAGAGGAGACGUGAGCGGAGCGCUGUAAGAAGGUGAGGCGGUGAGUAGUG